rnacentral:sRNA from 1 species
CAAGCACCUCGGUAGGUGAGGCGUCUGCAUGGAUAUAGGCCACUGACCCCGAACGUCGAGAGACGCCUCGGGUCAGGACAGCUCUUCCCGGACCCAAGGGUUGAGCCCAAGUGGCUCCUGGACGUUGGUCCAGAUACGUCGUGCAGUGCCAAAGCUCCGACGAGAGGGGUGUGUU